CCUACGGGUGGCAGCAGUGGGGAAUAUUGGACAAUGGGCGAAAGCCUGAUCCAGCCAUGCCGCGUGUGUGAAGAAGGCCUUCGGGUUGUAAAGCACUUUCAGUGGGGAAGAAGGCCUUGGGGCUAAUACCCUCGAGGAAGGACAUCACCCACAGAAGAAGCACCGGCUAACUCCGUGCCAGCAGCCGCGGUAAUACGGAGGGUGCGAGCGUUAAUCGGAAUUACUGGGCGUAAAGCGCGCGUAGGCGGUCUGAUAAGCCGGUUGUGAAAGCCCCGGGCUCAACCUGGGAACGGCAUCCGGAACUGUCAGGCUAGAGUGCAGGAGAGGAAGGUAGAAUUCCCGGUGUAGCGGUGAAAUGCGUAGAGAUCGGGAGGAAUACCAGUGGCGAAGGCAGCCUUCUGGACUGACACUGACGCUGAGGUGCGAAAGCGUGGGUAGCAAACAGGAUUAGAUACCCGAGUAGUC
rnacentral:rRNA from 1 species